rnacentral:snoRNA from 1 species
GGAUCGAUGAUGACACCCACAAACGCAUUCCUUGGAAAAUCUGAACAAAAUGAGUGAGAACUCACUACCGUCUCCUCAUCG